rnacentral:rRNA from 1 species
GACGAACCGUGCGAACGUUAUUCGGAAUCACUGGGCUUAAAGGGCGCGUAGGCGGGCCGAAAAGCCAGGGGUGAAAUCCUCCAGCCCAACUGGAGAAGCGCCUUUGGAACUGGCGGCCUCGAGGGGUGCAGGGGCAUGCGGAACUCAGGGUGGAGCGGUGAAAUGCGUAGAUAUCCUGAGGAACACCGGUGGCGAAAGCGGCGUGCUGGACACCUUCUGACGCUGAGGCGCGAAAGCCAGGGGAGCGAACGGG